rnacentral:rRNA from 1 species
GAUGAACGCUAGCGGCAGGCUUAAUACAUGCAAGUCGAGGGGCAGCACAGGUAGCAAUACUGGGUGGCGACCGGCAAACGGGUGCGGAACACGUACACAACUUACCUUAGAGUGGGGGAUAGCCCAGGGAAACUUGGAUUAAUACCCCAUAAAACAGGGGGCCCGCAUGGGCAUAUUGUUAAAGAUUUAUCGCUUUAAGAUGGGUGUGCGUAUGAUAAGGUAGUUGGUAGGGUAAAGGCCUACCAAGCCGACGAUCAUUAACUGGUGUAAGAGCACGACCGAUCACACUGCAACUGGGACACGGGCCCGACUCCUACUGGAGGAAGCAGUAAGGAAUAUUGGUCAAUGGACGGAAGUCUGAACCAGCCAUGCCGCGUGAAGGAUGAAGGUCCUCUGGAUUGUAAACUUCUUUUAUAGGGGGCGAAAAAGGGCCAUUCUUGGUCAACUGACGGUACCCUAUGAAUAAGCACCGGCUAACUCCGUGCCAGCCGCCGCCGUAA